GCCAGUUACUAGUAUGUUGAGUUACCCCUCGAUGUGCACAAGAAAAUAAUUUUUACAGCAACACUUCUUUGUUUAACUAAUUUUCGGUUGCUAUGUAGCAACCAAUGUUGCUACGAAGCAGCCGAAAACAUAAACAUUGCGAUCAAAUUUUCCGCUUCGAUCUCACCGACGGAAUCGACGCUAACAGCAGAUGCUUCUGUGGGCUAUCAUUCCAAUUUUGUGAUUCCAAAGGAACUAGCUACCUUAACAAAUUGCCUGCACAGCAAAUUCGAAACGGUGUUAUUUCGGUGAGUAAUGCCAGAAAAACGGGCGCGAGGCAAAAGAUCCAACCGAAUCACCCCCAAAAGAUUCAAAUAAAGGACAAACAAUAGGUUUUGUAUUAAUUUGGAAAUUGCAAAUAUAGUGAAACCCGGAACCCUAUUCUCAUAGUCAACAUGGCAUGACAAGGAAAUUUCCUUCUGGUCACUAAGUGACGUGACUGUGAAAAUAAUGGCCCUCGAUCUUUCAACGUCGAUAACCCAAGGGCCUUAGUACAGCAGCAGCAACUGCCCGAGAAUGCGGUACGAAAAUCAAAGCUGUAAAAUAGCAAUGAGAUGGUCAACUUUACCAAAUACAAAUAUGUUAAUACGGAAUGCUCUUGCAAUUUUUCGAGGACACGUUUUACACAACCCUGUACCUUGAAAGGUACAGUGUCAAAGUGACAGUGUACCUUGAUGAAUUUUCUAGAAAACUGGCAUUGCUGAAAACUGGGAAAACCAUGGAAACUGUUUAUUGUUUUGGUAAUCAGAAAAAAUGCAACGGAAUCGAAUGUGAACUUGAACUUUGCAUUCGCAGGGAGAUCUAUGGUGAGAUCGGAAUCAAAGUGCGGUACCUCUUGUGGUUAUAUGCCGAUAUGCCUCAAACUACCGCAUCACAUCAACCACAUGCGAAGUCAUAACCGAAAUCAAAUGAAGGGUAUUCUACCGAAAAGAGUUUAAUUAAUUAGUGGGCAUUCUUUUGACUGCUAGGGCUAUCCAUAAAUGAUUUUGGUGAAUGGAAUUGUCUUACUACUUCGUUCGACUGAUCCCGUAACUAUACUAUACUAUAAGAACAGGUUGCAUGUUAUCAUUUUGUCGAUGAGUUUCCGGCCAGAUACUGGAGUCGAUAACUACCUCAGUCUUGAUUUGAUGCCCUACCUUACCUAUGGUAGAUGAUCCAUCUUCGGGAAUAAUAGUACUAGUAUAGACAAUAAAUCGUCUAACCCAGGCUCUGGAUCUUCUGCUCAACGCUGAGUUAUAGCUGCCCCAAACGUACCUGAGCAACAAAGCGGAACUUCAUAAAGAGCAUCAGGAAGCGCAAAAGAGUAUUAUCCAACGAGGCUGUUUGCAGUUAUCUGGCUGCUAGUGACCUUGAAUGUCUCUGAACUAUAAUGGAUCUGACCUAUAGCAUUUACUGAUAAAUUUGCAUUU